AGCGAACGCUGGCGGCGUGCCUAACACAUGCAAGUCGAACGUGAAAAGGGAAACCUGGGUAAAGUGGCGUACGGGUGAGUAACGCGUAGGUAAUCUACCCCAGAAUCUGGAAUAACCUGCCGAAAGGCGGGCUAAUACUGGAUAGAGCGAGGGAACUCGUAAGAGAGUUUAUCGGGAAAGGGAGCCCGCAAGGGCCUUCGUUCUGGGAUGAGCCUGCGUCUCAUUAGCGAGUUGGUAAGGUAAAGGCUUACCAAGGCGAUGAUUAGUAGCUGGUCUGAGAGGAUGAUCAGCCAACCUGGAACUGAAACACGGUCCCGACUCCUACGGGAGGCAGCCGUGGGGAAUCUUGCGCAAUGGACGAAAGUCUGACGCAGCCACGCCGCGUGAGUGAAGAAGGCCUUCGGGUUGUAAAGCUCUGUCGGAUGGGACGAACAUCUUCAUAGUGAAUAGCUAUGAGGACUGACGGUACCAUCAAAGGAAGCACCGGCUAACUCCGUG
rnacentral:rRNA from 1 species